rnacentral:rRNA from 1 species
UACAGAGGAUGCAAGCGUUAUCCGGAAUGAUUGGGCGUAAAGCGUCUGUAGGCGGCUUUUUAAGUCCGCCGUCAAAUCCCAGGGCUCAACUCUGGACAGGCGGUGGAAACUACCAAGCUGGAGUACGGUAGGGGCAGAGGGAAUUUCCGGUGGAGCGGUGAAAUGCGCAGAUAUCAGGAGGAACACCGGUGGCGAAGGCGGGUCUCUGGGCCGAUACUGACGCUGAGGAGCGAAAGCGUGGGGAGCGAACAGG